UUCACAUGUCCAUGGCAUAUGAAGCUGUUGGCUCUACUGAAAUGGCCUCAUAAUCCAGACUUCAAUUGUCCUAUUAUAAUGCUUUCCCAGUAAUCCAUUAUAACUCUCUGUAAUUUACCUCCACACCAGUGUGUGCGCUGUUCGCGCCCUGCUGGUUAAUCUGCUCCACGGUCUCUCUCUAUCAUUCUGCCCCGCCCCCUACCCCCGCCCUCACUGCUUCCAUUUGAAAAAAAUCGGCGGGACUCGGGAGAUGAGUCUGAGAGCUGGAGCAAAAACCUCCGAAAUAUGGGGAUAUUUCAGGCCAACUGGUAAAAGAGUUGUCGGUACACUCUGUCAAACUUCACUUGGAAACACACAGGAGUUGUUCGAGACGUUUGGAGCGGUUGUUUUCUCUCCUCCAUGUCAUCUCCGGGUCUCCAAAGAUGCGCUCACAGAAAAGAAGAAGUCAACGUAGAAAGGAGUCCGCCGUCUUCACAACUCGGAGACAAACUGUAACAGGCGCUACAAACCGGAGCUGUUAGGGUGAGGUGUGGACCCAAGAGCGAACACAGACUAGAUGGUUGGGAGUUAACAACAGUUCUUUAAUGUAAGUUCAGCCGAACAGACAUAUUGUAAAUCCACGUAGGAGGAUGGUGACCCAAAUGGAGUGGAGGAGUGGAGACAGGCACGGCAGGCUCGAAAACAAACAGGGCUGGUGGCGUGGCUGAAAGCGAAGAGUAGGUUGCCCUUCAGCGUCGCUUGACGGACUGAAACGAACUGGCGCUGGCUCCCUGGAUCACAGGAGUACUAGUGCUGGAGCUUGAUUAGUGAAUUGCCUGCAGCUGCGCUGGAGAGCCAGGUGCCCUGAUGGAAAGACCACGCCUACACACACUCACUCCACACACACGACCAAAAAAGGAAGACAGCAGCCUGAGUCACGGCCAGGCCGUGACAGGAGCAACGACUAACCUCGCCUCAUAACGAGGCCGUGACCUAUAUUUGCUCGGAGCUGUUUGUAAGUCCAGAUUUACAUGACGCUGAUAAUGACACCAUUGUGUCUGCCUGUAAGACAUGACGAGACAGCACGCAGGAGCUUC